rnacentral:rRNA from 1 species
AGGGUUUGAUCCUGGCUCAGGAUGAACGCUAGCGGCAGGCCUAACACAUGCAAGUCGAGGGGUAACAGAGAGUGCUUGCACUUUGCUGACGACCGGCGCACGGGUGCGUAACGCGUAUACAAUCUACCUUGUACUGGGGGAUAGCCUUUAGAAAUGAAGAUUAACACCCCAUAGUAUGUCGACCUCGCAUGGGGAUGACAUUAAAGGUUACGGUACAAGAUGAGUAUGCGUCCUAUUAGCUAGAUGGUGUGGUAACGGCACACCAUGGCAACGAUAGGUAGGGGCCCUGAGAGGGGGAUCCCCCACACUGGUACUGAGACACGGACCAGACUCCUACGGGAGGCAGCAGUGAGGAAUAUUGGACAAUGGAGGCAACUCUGAUCCAGCCAUGCCGCGUGCAGGAAGACUGCCCUAUGGGUUGUAAACUGCUUUUAUACAGGAAGAAACCGCUCUACGUGUAGAGCUCUGACGGUACUGUAAGAAUAAGGAUCGGCUAACUCCGUGCCAGCAGCCGCGGUAAUACGGAGGAUCCAAGCGUUAUCCGGAAUCAUUGGGUUUAAAGGGUCCGUAGGUGGAUAAUUAAGUCAGAGGUGAAAGUUUGCAGCUUAACUGUAAAAUUGCCUUUGAUACUGGUUAUCUUGAAUCAUUGUGAAGUGGUUAGAAUAUGUAGUGUAGCGGUGAAAUGCAUAGAUAUUACAUAGAAUACCAAUUGCGAAGGCAGAUCACUAACAAUGUAUUGACACUGAUGGACGAAAGCGUAGGUAGCGAACGGGAUUAGAUACCCCGGUAGUCUACGCCGUAAACGAUGGAUACUAGCUGUUGGGUUUCGGCUCAGUGGCUAAGCGAAAGUGAUAAGUAUCCCACCUGGGGAGUACGUUCGCAAGAAUUGAAAUUCAAAGG